CUCCUCUUAGGAUCACACCUGGAAAGUUUCCAGUACUCUAUCAGUCUUGAUGACAUGAGAGAGAGUCAAGCAGAGGCAUACCCAUUCCAGUCCUAGCUUGGGCAGUGGCUAGCGAGCGGAAGGCAAUCUGCUACAAAU